AGCUUGUGAGUGGCGAGAAGGAAGGCCUUCUUCAGCUGCCAAGUGACAAAGCCCUCAUGGCUGACCCAGCCUUCCGUCCACUGGUGGAGAAAUAUGCUGCGGAUGAGGACGCCUUCUUUGCGGAUUACGCCGAGGCCCACCUCAAGCUCUCUGAACUGGGAUUUGCUGAGGAAUAAGAAGCCUUUAGAGAGCGGGAUAUCCGCAAAAGAUUAAUGCCGAUUUGUAUUUUGCGCCUUAGAGUCAG
rnacentral:misc_RNA from 1 species